GAGGGGUGAGGGGUGGCUGACCGGAAGGAGGAAAGUCCCCCCACCGUUAAAUGGCGGAGCUCCGUAAGGGGCUGUGCCGGGAGGCACGGCAACGGCACAGAAACGAUACCCGCCUGGGGAAAAGCGAUGAUUCCGGAAGGAUGAGGUCACCUAGGCGGGAUGAAACGGCCGACCCCGCCGGUGCAAGGCAUUUAGCCGCUCAGACUAAUGCCACCUAAAACAGAAGGGGGCUUACCAUCACCCCUC
rnacentral:RNase_P_RNA from 1 species